CUUUUUAAAAUCUUUUUUUUUGCUGAUGAAACUAAGUAAAGCAGCCAGAAGCAGGAGUAGUCCUUCUCCCUCACGCAGUCAUUCCUUCUUCAAUCAUCUUCCUCAAGCUCGUGAUUUCCAUUGAUUCUUCUCCCUCUUGUUCUCACGCAUCAACUACAAAGAUAUCAUCUCAUUCAUGUACCCUUUGAUUUCAAGAUGUGGAAGAUUGAGUAGGAUUAUAUAUGACACACAUGAAGGAGUACUAAACAAGAUACACUUAAAUGAUCUUCCUGGUGGGACCGACUCAUUCGAGCUAGCAGCAAAGUUCUGCUAUGGCAUUGCAGUUGAUCUUACAGCAUCCAACAUUUCUGGCCUCAGAUGUGCUGCAAAGUAUUUAGAGAUGACAGAAGAUCUUGAAGAAGGAAAUCUCAUUUUCAAAACUGAAGCCUUCUUAAGGAAGAUUCUGGAAUAGUUAAAGCAAAAGAUCAAAGAAUGAUCAUUGAGAGCCUGAUUAGUAUAAUCCCCCCCCAACAAAAGGACAGUGUUUCGUGCAGCUUCCUAUUAAGGCUUCUUCGGAUGGCUAACAAGCUAAAGGUGUCCCCCGCGUUAGUCACUGAGCUCGAGAAGCGUGUUGAUAUGCAGUUCGAGCAAGCUACCUUAUCAGAUCUUCUUAUACCAUCGUAUAACAAGGGUGAGACGAUGUAUGAUGAUGGGCUGAAUCUCGCUUACCAAGUUCCAAGUCCUGGCCGAGGCUCUUCCUGAAUCUGCACGAACUUGUGAUGAUGGGCUGUACAGGGCUAUCGACUCCUAUCUCAAGGCACACCCUGCACUAUCAGAACACGAAAGAAAGAGAUUAUGUCGAGUGAUGGACUGUCAAAAACUGUCUAUCGAUGCUUGUAUGCAUGCAGCAUUUAAUGAGGCUGCAAAUGAGGAAGAAAUGGACAAUUUACCGUUUCUCCAGGUAAAGAACCGGUCAGGUAUGCCAGCGGGAAAUAUGUAUCUCAAAGUUUGUAAUUAUUCAUGGUUAAUUGAAAGUUCGUAUUAUUGUUGGAAAAUCAGUGAAAGUUCGUA